GGGGGACUUCAUAGAUUCUGAUCUUCAUCCUGAGGAUGAUGCUUUGGAUUUCUGACACGGUGUUUCCUUCUGGAUCAUUGCUGUUAUGGUUUUUCUGAAUCCAUUAGUUUGCGCUUUGUGCCUUCAAUGGGUUAUCUUUAUUUUUUUUUCUUGUUUUUGUUUUUCGGUUUCAUUUCUCAAUAAAAUUUUUAUUUUCAGCAGUCGCACCAAGUGGAGGAAUGGAUGACAGAAAUGGGCCCAUUAACACCAUCCAUUCUAUUUGUUUCGAGAUAUAUUGUCUCAAGUGUUGACACAAAUGGUUUGAAUGGAGCUAUUAGCACCAUUGGUUCCGGC
rnacentral:lncRNA from 1 species